rnacentral:rRNA from 1 species
CUGCAUCCAAAACUAUUUAGCUAGAGUGUGGGAGAGGAAGAUGGAAUUAGUUGUGUAGGGGUAAAAUCCGUAGAGAUAACUAGGAAUACCAAAAGCGAAGGCAAUCUUCUGGAACACUACUGACGCUGAGGCGCGAAGGCGUGGGGAGCAAACAGGAUUAGAUACCCUGGUAGUCCACGCAGUAAACGAUGAAUGUUAGUCGUCGGGUAGCUAGUCUAUUCGGUGAUGCAGCUAACGCAUUAAACAUUCCGCCUGGGGAGUACGGUCGCAAGAUUAAAACUCAAAGGAAUAGACGGGGACCCGCACAAGUGGUGGAGCAUGUGGUUUAAUUCGAAGAUACGCGAAGAACCUUACCUAGCCUUGACAUAUUUUAGAACACCCUAGAGAUAGAGUGGUGCCUUCGGGAGCUAAUUUACAGGUGCUGCACGGCUGUCGUCAGCUCGUGUCGUGAGAUGUUGGGUUAAGUCCCGCAACGAGCGCAACCCUCGUCACUAGUUACUAACGGUUCGGCCGAGGACUCUAGUGAGACUGCCUUCGUAAGGAGGAGGAAGGUGAGGAC